rnacentral:rRNA from 1 species
UACGUAGGGACCAAGCGUUGUUCGGAUUUACUGGGCGUAAAGGGCGCGUAGGCGGCGUGGUAAGUCACUUGUGAAAUCUCUGAGCUUAACUCAGAACGGCCAAGUGAUACUGCUGUGCUAGAGUGCAGAAGGGGCAAUCGGAAUUCUUGGUGUAGCGGUGAAAUGCGUAGAUAUGCGGAGGAACACCGAUGGCGAAGGCAAUCCCCUGGGCCUGCACUGACGCUCAUGCACGAAAGCGUGGGGGAGCAAACAGG